GUGCAGCAGGCGCGAAAACUUUACAAUGCUGGGAACAGCGAUAAGGGAACCUCGAGUGCCAGGUUACAAAUCUGGCUGUCGUGAUGCCUAAAAAGCAUUAUAUAGCAAGGGCCGGGCAAGACCGGUGCCAGCCGCCGCGGUAACACCGGCGGCUCGAGUGGUAACCGUUAUUAUUGGGUCUAAAGGGUCUGUAGCCGGCCGGAUAAGUCUCUUGGGAAAUCUGGCAGCUCAACUGUCAGGCUUUCAGGGGAUACUGUCUGGCUCGAGGCCGGGAGAGGUGAGAGGUACUUCAGGGGUAGGGGUGAAAUCUUGUAAUCCUUGAAGGACCACCAGUGGCGAAGGCGUCUCACCAGAACGGACCUGACGGCAAGGGACGAAAGCUAGGGGCACGAACCGGAUUAGAUACCCGGGUAGUCC
rnacentral:rRNA from 1 species